rnacentral:rRNA from 1 species
CAGCAGCCGCGGUAAUUCGGGGGGGGCAAGCGUUGUUCGGAAUUACUGGGCGUAAAGGGCUCGUAGGUGGCCACCUAAGUCUGACGUGAAAUCCCUCGGCUCAACCGGGGAAUUGCGUCUGGAACUGCUCGGCUCGAGUACGGGAGAGGGAGGCGGAAUUCCCAGUGUAGAGGUGAAAUUCGUAGAUAUUGGGAGGAACACCGGUGGCGAAAGCGGCCUCCUGGACCGAUACUGACGCUGAGACGCGAAAGCGUGGGGAGCAAACAGGAUUAGAUACCCUGGUAGUCCACGCGGUAAACGAUGGGCACUAGGUGUGGGGGGUAUCCACUCCUCCCGUGCCGCAGCUAACGCAUUAAGUGCCCCGCCUGGGGAGUACGGCCGCAAGGUUAAAACUCAAAGGAAUUGACGG